GAGAGUUAAACAGUACGUGAAAUUGUUGAAAGGGAAACGAUUGAAGUCAGUCAUACCAACGGGAAAUCAACCUUUUGAGUUUGGUCUCGUGGGUUUUGAAGAGUUUAAAAGCCUUCGGAUUUUCGAGAUUGGGUUCUUCUGGUGUACUUUCUCGUACGGUUAGUCAACAUCGGUUUUGAAUGUCAUAAAAUGACUGGAGGAAUGUGGCUUCGAUCUCGUAUUGAAGUGUUAUAGCCUUUGGUAGAUGUGAUGUUCAAGACCGAGGAUUGCAACGGAUACCCUUCUGGGCUAUUCGUCUGAUCUCUGAAAUGUUGCCUUGAUGUCGAAAGCUUGCUUAUGAUGUUAGGGUAUUACGAUCAAAAGGUUAGAACGGAUUAAAUUCGUUAAGGAUGUUGACGUAAUGACUUUAAACGA
rnacentral:rRNA from 1 species